UGUGUAACCUGUUGAGAGAUAGAGAUACACCGAUGGGUUUUCAUGUUGUGCUGUCAAUGCAUGAGGUCUGUUUCUAUUUCUCUUUUUGUUGAGCUUUGAUGGAGGACGAUGCCAAUGCUGGAAAGAAGGAGGAGGAGGAGGAAUUUGCCAAGGGUCCUCUAUCCGUUCUGAUGCUUAGUGUCAAGAACAAUACUCAGGUUCUCAUCAACUGCCG
rnacentral:misc_RNA from 1 species